AUGGAGGAGGUGCCGUUCUCGGCGGACGACCAGCAUCCGUCGCCGCUGGCGCAGGAGGACUACGACGCCAUGGAGUGGUGGACGCGGGAGCCGGUGUGGUCGCCGGGCGUCCCCGAGGAACUCUGGGGACUGCGCUUCUUGGCCCCGCUCGACGACGAUCAGCUGAUGACGCAGGAGGGCCGCAAGGGCAAGCCGUCGUCGGAGGUCCCCGAGGAGUUGCGGUGGCUGUUCUUGACCCCGCCCAACGACGGCGCAGCUGUCGCUCCUCCGCCGCCGUCGCCCUCGGCGGAUGCCCAGCUCCUGCCGGAGGAGGGAGAUUAUGAUGCCUUGGAGCUGGACCAGUGGAUGCACGAGAGCAGCGAGCCGGAGCCGUGGUCGCCGGAGGAGGAGGAUUACGACGCGUUGGAGGACGACUAG
rnacentral:rRNA from 1 species